rnacentral:rRNA from 1 species
GACGAACGCUGGCGGCGUGCUUAACACAUGCAAGUCGAGCGGGAAACUUCGGUUUCCAGCGGCGGACGGGUGAGUAACACGUGGGCAACCUGCCUCACAAUGAGGGAUAGCCUUCCGAAAGGAAGAUUAAUACCUCAUAACACAAGAGAAACACAUGUUUCUCUUGCCAAAGAAUUUCGUUGUGAGAUGGGCCCGCGGCGCAUUAGCUUGUUGGUGAGGUAAAGGCUCACCAAGGCUGCGAUGCGUAGCCGACCUGAGAGGGUGAUCGGCCACAUUGGAACUGAGACACGGUCCAGACUCCUACGGGAGGCAGCAGUGGGGAAUAUUGCACAAUGGAGGAAACUCUGAUGCAGCAACGCCGCGUGAGUGAUGAAGGUCUUCGGAUUGUAAAGCUCUGUCUUCUGGGACGAUAAUGACGGUACCAGAGGAGGAAGCCACGGCUAACUACGUGCCAGCCGCCGCCGUAA